rnacentral:rRNA from 1 species
AACGAACGCUGGCGGCGUGCCUAACACAUGCAAGUCGAACGUGAUUGGAAGCUUGCUUCCAUGAAAGUGGCGCACGGGUGAGUAACGCGUAGAUAAUCUACCUGAUGGAUCGGGAUAACACUUCGAAAGGGGUGCUAAUACCGGAUAAGCCCACGGAGUCUUUGGACACUGCGGGAAAAGGGGGGGACCCUCGGGCCUUCCGUCAUCAGAUGGGUCUGCGUACCAUUUGCUAGUUGGUCGGGUAAGGCCUACCAAGGCGACGAUGGUUAGCUGGACUGGAAGGAUGGUCAGCCGCACUGGAACUGAGACAAGGACCAGAGUCCUACGGGAGGCAGCAGUGGGGAAUUUGGCGCAAGGGGGGAAACCCUGACGCAGCAACGCCGCGUGAGUGAUGAAGGCCCUUGGGUCGUAAAGCUCUGACAGAGGGAAAGAAAUGUGGGUGGCUAAUAUCCAUACCACUUGACGGUACCCUCAAAGGAAGCACCGGCUAACUCCGUGCCAGCCGCCGCCGUAAAAC